UAUGUUUCAAUGGAUUUCCUUCAAGUUCUUUUAAGAAUGAAUACAAUGUCUAAGGGUGACAGUGAAGAGAUGGCUCACCACAGUCUGUGUGCUGGAGAACAGAACUGGAAAACAAAACGACAUGACUUGCAAUGCAUAAAUCACGAACAAGAGAGGCAACUUCUCACGAAAACGCCACUGAUUCACAUCUCCAAUCUGACGGGGCAGGCGGCCUUCUAUGACUAGUUCUUUACCAUAUGGGACAAGUGCUAAAUGUUAAAGGAUCAAACUAGAAUACCUCUGCACAAACAUAUACUCAAAACUGAAACAAAGAGCUGUGACCAGAAGAAGGCAGAGGAAGAUUCAACUCUGUCAGCGACCCUGUAAAAACAUUUGUCUGAUCUGUGGCCCCUGGCUUCCUCUCUGAAGUAACAGAGAGGCACAGGGAAAGAAACAAAAAGGUUACCCUCCACUGUGGAAGAACUUUUCUUGGUCCAUAAAAUAACAUGGCCUGAGCCAUGUGCAGCGGUAACUACUUGAUGACACUUUGCUAAGCUGCUGUGAAUGUCUUUUUAAGUAAACAGUAAACAUGGCUUUACGACUGACAAGGAAACAAAUGCCAAGUGGUCAGAGCUGAGUUUAAAAGUCAGAUACUUCAAAAUGCCUGGUGGGUGGAUUUUUAAAUUAAAGGAAAUGACACUGUUUCCUUUGAAGAAUGCCAUUCUUGUUCCUAGGUCCCUUUGUGGCAAGAUCUCAACCACUAAGUCAAAUGUAAGAAGCAUCAGUGAUUUCCAAGUUUGCACAAAGAUUUUUUUCUUUAUGAAACUAACUUGUUGGUCUUCAACCUUUAUGUGAAGUUGCAGCAAGUGUUAACUCCGAAGUGAGGUUCAAUUGACGUUCUUAAGGUCACGUAGUCAGCAAGAGAUGAGCAAAUAAGCCCAGAAGUACUCCCCACCAGUCUACACUUCUAACCACUAUACCACACCAGCUCACGUCUGAUUCAUUUUGAGAAAUGAGUAUA